GACGUAGGGCGCGAGCGUUGUCCGGAUUUAUUGGGCGUAAAGAGCUCGUAGGCGAUUUGUCGCGUCGUUCGUGAAAACUCACAGCUUAACUGUGAGCUUGCGGUCGAUACGGGCAGGCUAGAGUUCGGUAGGGGAGACUGGAAUUCCUGGUGUAGCGGUGAAAUGCGCAGAUAUCAGGAGGAACACCGGUGGCGAAGGCGGGUCUCUGGGCCGAUACUGACGCUGAGGAGCGAAAGCGUGGGGAGCAAACAGG
rnacentral:rRNA from 1 species